rnacentral:rRNA from 1 species
GAUGAACGCUAGCUACAGGCUUAACACAUGCAAGUCGAGGGGCAGCAUGGUCUUAGCUUGCUAAGGCUGAUGGCGACCGGCGCACGGGUGAGUAACACGUAUCCAACCUGCCGUCUACUCUUGGCCAGCCUUCUGAAAGGAAGAUUAAUCCAGGAUGGGAUCAUGAGUUCACAUGUCCGCAUGAUUAAAGGUAUUUUCCGGUAGACGAUGGGGAUGCGUUCCAUUAGAUAGUAGGCGGGGUAACGGCCCACCUAGUCAACGAUGGAUAGGGGUUCUGAGAGGAAGGUCCCCCACAUUGGAACUGAGACACGGUCCAAACUCCUACGGGAGGCAGCAGUGAGGAAUAUUGGUCAAUGGGCGAUGGCCUGAACCAGCCAAGUAGCGUGAAGGAUGACUGCCCUAUGGGUUGUAAACUUCUUUUAUAAAGGAAUAAAGUCGGGUAUGCAUACCCGUUUGCAUGUACUUUAUGAAUAAGGAUCGGCUAACUCCGUGCCAGCAGCCGCGGUAA